rnacentral:rRNA from 1 species
UACGUAGGGUGCGAGCGUUGUCCGGAUUUACUGGGCGUAAAGGGAGCGUAGGCGGACUUUUAAGUGAGAUGUGAAAUACCCGGGCUCAACUUGGGUGCUGCAUUUCAAACUGGAAGUCUAGAGUGCAGGAGAGGAGAAUGGAAUUCCUAGUGUAGCGGUGAAAUGCGUAGAGAUUAGGAAGAACACCAGUGGCGAAGGCGAUUCUCUGGACUGUAACUGACGCUGAGGCUCGAAAGCGUGGGGAGCAAACAGGAUUAGAUUCCCCCGUAGU